rnacentral:rRNA from 1 species
UCUUGGUCAUUUAGAGGAAGUAAAAGUCGUAACAAGGUCUCCGUAGGUGAACCUGCGGAGGGAUCAUUACAGAGUUCAUGCCCUACACGGGUAGAUCUCCCACCCUUUGUUAUCAUUACCUUCGUUGCUUUGGCGGGCCGUCAGGCCUCGGUCAGGCUACCGGCUCUAGCUGGUAAGCGCCCGCCAGAGGACCCCAAACUCUGAAUAUUAGUGUCGUCUGAGUACUAUAUAAUAGUUAAAACUUUCAACAACGGAUCUCUUGGUUCUGGCAUCGAUGAAGAACGCAGCGAAAUGCGAUAAGUAAUGUGAAUUGCAGAAUUUAGUGAAUCAUCGAAUCUUUGAACGCACAUUGCGCCCCUUGGUAUUCCGAGGGGCAUGCCUGUUCGAGCGUCAUUACAACCCUCAAGCAAUGCUUGGUAUUGGGCUCCGCUGCUCACCCAGCCGGCCUUAAAAUCAGUGGCGGUGCCGUUGGGCCCUGAGCGUAGUAAACAUCCUCGCUAUAGGGACCCGGUGGACACUAGCCAUCAACCCCCAUUUUCCAAGUUUGACCUCGGAUCAGGUAGGGAUACCCGCUGAACUUAAGCAUAUCA